rnacentral:rRNA from 1 species
GAUGAACGCUGGCGGCGUGCCUAAUACAUGCAAGUCGAGCGAACAGACGAGGAGCUUGCCCUCUGACGUUAGCGGCGGACGGGUGAGUAACACGUGGAUAACCUACCUAUAAGACUGGGAUAACUUCGGGAAACCGGAGCUAAUACCGGAUAAUAUAUUUAACCGCAUGGUUCAAUAGUGAAAGACGGUUUUGCUGUCACUUAUAGAUGGAUCCGCGCCGCAUUAGCUAGUUGGUAAGGUAACGGCUCACCAAGGCAACGAUGCGUAGCCGACCUGAGAGGGUGAUCGGCCACACUGGAACUGAGACACGGUCCAGACUCCUACGGGAGGCAGCAGUAGGGAAUCUUCCGCAAUGGGCGAAAGCCUGACGGAGCAACGCCGCGUGAGUGAUGAAGGUCUUCGGAUCGUAAAACUCUGUUAUUAGGGAAGAACAAAUGUGUAAGUAACUAUGCACGUCUUGACGGUACCUAAUCAGAAAGCCACGGCUAACUACGUG